AUGCUGGUAUUAGCAGUGCCAUGCAGGGAUCAUGGUGUGACAUCUGGAAUACAGACUGUAUGGGUGUGAUACGCCCCUCUAAACGAGGCCUUACAGACAUAAAUGGAGUUUACUGACCAGUAAUUCAAUAAGGCGUUUCCUAAGGCCUCACGGACUGUAUGUAUUUUGUGGUCCGCGAAACGCAGAUCCGCAAAUUACGGAUGUCUGUGUUGCAUCGUUUUUUUUUUUUUUUGUGGACCCAUGGUCAGCAUUUUCAGGCCAAGUAUAGGACAUGUUCUAUCUUUGGCGGAACGGACAUACAGAUCAUCCUUAUGUUUUCCGCAUCCAUAUGUCCUAUACUUCACAAAGUCGACGGGUCCGCAAGAGAAACAAAAACACAUGCAACACGGACGUCAUCCGCAAUUUGUGGACUGCAAACGGUCAUGUGUAUGAGACCAAAAGUGAACACCUCAGCCCAAAGCCUUAUUGCCUGGAAUCUACAAUAUAAAAAUUGCAUAGCACGUCCACCCUUAGAAUCUGCCUGCGCGACGCCUACAUUUUGAUGGUACGUCCACAGGUAAUCUGCUGCAACAAAUUCUGCUGAGGGUGCGACACAGAUCUGACCUUGUGCAGCGUAAUUUGACCAGCGGUGGAAUUCAAAUCCACACCGUGGGUUAAUUUACGCUGUGGAUUUCUUAAAAUGUCACUGGUACUGUAAAAUGCUGCAGAUUCCGUCCCGAGUGGACGCUCCUUAAAGGGAGUGUUAGUUAAAAAAAAAAAAAAAAAAGGUUCAAAUAUAUUACCAGAAACAGCGCCACUUAUUUCUGUGGCCUGUGCAUGGUAUUGCAAGUCAACAGAGCUGGGCUGCAAUACCACACAUAGCCCAAGGACAAGAGUGCUCUGGAUUUUGCAGAACGGAACAGCCGGCCCCUAAUAGAACACUCCUAUCCUUGU